rnacentral:misc_RNA from 1 species
GAAAUGCGAUAAGUAAUGUGAAUUGCAGAAUUCAGUGAAUCAUCGAAUCUUUGAACGCACAUUGCGCCCGCCAGUAUUCUGGCGGGCAUGCCUGUUCGAGCGUCAUUUCAACCCUCAAGACCCCUUCGGGGGACUUGGUGUUGGGGACCGGCUGUUCCCGGCCUGCUUCUUGCAGCGCCUUUAUGCCGCCCCCGAAAUGAAUUGGCGGCCUCGUCGCGGCCUCCCCUGCGUAGUAGCACAACCUCGCAACGGGAACGUGACGGCGGCCACUGCCGUAAAACAACCCCAAUUUUAUUAGAGUUGACCUCGAAUCAGGUAGGAAUACCCGCUGAACUUAA